AUUAUAAAAAUAUACAUAAUGACAACAGAUUUAUCAUUAGAAAUGUUCGCAAAAUUUUUGGUUUGGAUACAAAAAACCAAGUGAAAAUGAUACUGGAAAGACUGUUUACCGUUUGACUCCUGUCCCAAUCUAAUCUAGUGGGUUU